rnacentral:lncRNA from 1 species
UUCACUCUUAUUCCACCUGGCCUCUCCACCCACACUCCCAGGUGAAUGAGACCUGGCCCAAAGACAUUUUUGUAAACUAAAUUGGGCCUUUCUAUUAAUGUACCAUGGAAAAGAUGCCCCAUUCUGAUUUUGGAGUGAUCGUCAAACCUCAUUGGCCAACUGAAGAUGAAUGACUUCCAGGCUCAUUUGAAAGGAAAAUAGGGUGCGUUUGUUGGGAGAAGAGCCUUCAGUUUUAGUAAGCACCCCCUACUGCAUCUGUUUUGUAUUAAUUGAUUGCAUUUGGAAAUUUCCUAAGAAGCACUUCUUGGCACUUAAGCAUUAAAGCUGCUCUAUUUCAGAGCAGAAAUCAUUUCUCACAUACAGACCUGAUAAUGUGAUUCAGCACCUAUGAUGUAAUGACACACUUUCUAAAACUGUAAAUUUGUAACAACGAAUAGGGUUUUCGUCCCUUUUAUUUAAUGAUUUACAAUGUUAACUUAUGGAGAAUGACUCUGAAGGAGCCAAUGCAUAACUGUCGCUUUUAACCCUUCAUUCUUUCAGUGCGGGCAGCGCCUUAGGACGCCUCAUCUAUUUUAAGGCAGAGUUAAAAGGCUACUGCUCCUUCUGUGCAUUUCUUUCUGCAACGUGUGUGCUUUUACGUCGUGUUAUCAAGUGAAGCAAGGUAACCGGCCCAAAGCAGAAAUCAUCACCAAAUCAACUUCACACGGUGUCACCACGUCACCGUCACCCAGUGUUAAACACAGCAGAGACGCACAUGCAUCAGUGUGGAUGGAUUAGAGAGGCGCUCACAAGGCUCACCCGCAAAGACUCCGAAUCUCAAGACUCAACAGAAAGCCUCCAUGGAAGUGAAGCCGGCGGGUUCUAUUCUCACUUAUUUUCAUGACUUUUUUUUUUUUUUUUUGUAGUUUUCCACUGUUAAGAAAAGCGCAUCAGAGGAGUCUGGUGGAUUUUGGAGAAGAGCAGCCUCCUGCCUCCCGGAAGUCUGACGGAGCCCAGUUCCCGGACUGUGCGGCCGCGGGCCCGGGGGAGCGCCCCCCGCGUCCCGAGGGCCACGGUCCCCGCUCCCCGAUGUCCCCGGCGCCGCCGCCG